GAUGAAGAACGUAGCGAAAUGCGAUAAGUAGUGUGAAUUGCAGAAUUCAGUGAAUCAUCGAAUCUUUGAACGCACAUUGCGCCCUUUGGUAUUCCUUAGGGCAUGCCUGUUCGAGCGUCAUUUAAACCUUCAAACUAAGCUUGGUGUUGGGUGACUGUCCGCUUCACGGCGGACUCGCCUCAAAAUUAUUGGCGGCCGGUACAUUGGCUUCGAGCGCAGCAGAAACGCGAACUCGGGCCCGUCGUAUUGGCUCCCAGAAGCUAUCUUCACAAUUUUGACCUCGGAUCAGGUAGGGAUACCCGCUGAACUUAAGCAUAUCAAUAAGCGGAGGA
rnacentral:misc_RNA from 1 species